rnacentral:rRNA from 1 species
UCCGUAGGUGAACCUGCGGAGGGAUCAUUACUGAGUUUACGCUCUACAACCCUUUGUGAACAUACCUAUAACUGUUGCUUCGGCGGGUAGGGUCUCCGCGACCCUCCCGGCCUCCCGCCCCCGGGCGGGUCGGCGCCCGCCGGAGGAUAACCAAACUCUGAUUUAACGACGUUUCUUCUGAGUGGUACAAGCAAAUAAUCAAAACUUUUAACAACGGAUCUCUUGGUUCUGGCAUCGAUGAAGAACGCAGCGAAAUGCGAUAAGUAAUGUGAAUUGCAGAAUUCAGUGAAUCAUCGAAUCUUUGAACGCACAUUGCGCCCGCCAGCACUCUGGCGGGCAUGCCUGUUCGAGCGUCAUUUCAACCCUCAAGCUCUGCUUGGUGUUGGGGCCCUACAGCUGAUGUAGGCCCUCAAAGGUAGUGGCGGACCCUCCCGGAGCCUCCUUUGCGUAGUAACUUUACGUCUCGCACUGGGAUCCGGAGGGACUCUUGCCGUAAAACCCCCAAAUUUUCCAAAGGUUGACCUCGGAUCAGGUAGGAAUACCCGCUGAACUUAAGCAUAUCA